CAAGUGCAGGAGAGCUAGUGCUCCCGUCACCAGUUAACUCCUGCAGGCACAACUGCGACACAACACUGGCUCCGGGUCCCAGGCCAAGGGUGGCCGAGUGAGGGCCUGAGCCUUGGAAACCCCACCUGCAUGUCUCUUGCCCUCUCCACUUCCAUCCGGGUCUCAGCUGAGAUACCACUUCCUCUGGGAAGUCCUCCUGGAAGCCUGUCCCUGGGCCAGAUGUCUCUUCUCUGUGUCUCCUGGAGCCUCUGCCACCACCAUACUCCUACCAGGGAAUAUGACCAUCUGCUUCUCCGUUCAUCCUACAAGAUGGUGAGCCUCACCAGGCCAAGAACUGUCUUGUCCACUACUGUAUUCCCAGGGCCUCAUGUCUUACUGACAAAUAAGCCUGGAGUCUCUACACUGGGGUCACCGGAGCCUGCAGGAGCACACUUCCUAAAUCAGGCCUGGAAGCUGAGUACCAGCCCCGGACCUGCCUUUGCACACAGUGACAGUCCCAUGGUGGCGCUGGCCAGCAGGCCUCCGAUGGGCUCCUGCAAAGCAGCCUUCCCUGUGCGAGUGGACGGAUACCCCAACCUGACAAAGGCAUGUGAGUGCUGACUCGAAGGAGAGGGAAGAGGGCCUGACCAACCUACUUUCCCAUUUCUGUCCAACCACGUGAGGAGCAACGUUCCUGGCAGAGCAAUUGUGCUCAGAAUAAAGAGGCAUGAAAAACGUC